rnacentral:lncRNA from 1 species
UUCAAUCAUUUGAUUAAUUCAUUUGAAGCUCUCAUUGUUUUUUAUUUUAGCGUUGAUUGCGUAUACGACGAGAUCGAGAAAUCAAUUCAUCAUGGCGAGCCGAACGGAUGAUCUAGUGAGCCCAGUCCAACCAGCUCACCAGCUCGACCUCGAUGCUUUGCUCCGUUACGCCUCCGAUAACGUCCCUGGCUUCCCGCGCUCUCCUUCUAAAUUCACUAUUUCUCAGGUAUUUGUUUAUUUUUAAUUUAUUUAUUUAUCUGUGUUUUUGAAUUUUAAUUAUUUAUUUAUUUUGCUUUUAGUUUGGACAUGGACAAUCGAACCCGACGUUUCUUAUGGAAGUAGGUUCCGGAGCGGCAGUGAAACGGUACGUUUUGAGGAAGAAGCCUGCCGGUAAAUUGCUCGAGUCUGCUCACGCUGUGGAUCGAGAGUUUCAGGUGGCAUUUCUGUAAUGUUUUACAUGCAUACAUAAUUGCGCAGACUUGAAUAUAUCAUUAAAUGUCACAUUUAUCGAUUAUUUAUGCAUAUAACAAUUAUAUAUAACAAAAUUCAAGUAGAAUUUUGAAUCUUUCGAUGUGACAGGUUCUUCGGGCGUUAGGUGAUCAUACAGUAGUUCCAGUUCCUAAAGUGUUCUGUUUGUGUAAUGAUCCUAAUGUUAUUGGAACUGCAUUUUACAUCAUGGAAUUUUUGGAAGGACGGAUUUUUAUUGACUCAAAGUUGCCUGUAAUGCACUCUUUCUCUUUAGUCUCUUACUUGAUGAGUUGAUAGUCAAAUUGAAUUAGUGUAAGAAUUUGUCUUUGGCUUGAAAUUUUGGAUUUUGGUGUUGAUAUGUCUGAUUAGGGUGUGCCACCGGAGAGGAGAAGAGCUAUAUAUCGAGCAACUGCAAAAACAUUAGCUUCUAUUCAUUCGGCUAAUGUGGAUAUGAUUGGACUGGGUAAAUAUGGGAGGCGAGACAACUACUGUAGACGGCAGGUUCUUGAAUUCUUUUUGAAAGUUUUAGCUAAUUUAGUGCUUUGUAAUUUAUUUGCUUUAAAGCAAAGAACUUGAAUUUACAGCUUAGAAUAUGAAGUUGCACUGUAGAAGCUGUAAAUUUAGAAAAAGAGAGAGAACUUAUAAUAUCUUGCAACUAAGUGGCACUUUUGAUUUUUACUUUUUGUUUAGAUAGAAAGGUGGGCUAAACAAUAUACUGCUUCAACUGCUGAGGGUAAGCCUGCAAGUAAUCCCAAAAUGUUUCAGCUGAUUGAUUGGUUACGGCAGAAUAUUCCCCCUGAAGAUUCAUCUGGAGUAGCAGCAGGCAUAGUUCAUGGGGAUUUUCGAAUUGAUAAUCUUGUAUUUCAUCCUAUUGAGGUCUGGAACUCCUAAAUUCCUUUGUUAACUUAUAUUCAAAGAUUUUUCUCUAACAUAGCUAUCUGUGUGGUUUAAAUAUAUGUCAUUAAUUUAAUUAUGAUCACUCAUUAUUGUAAAACAUUAGCUCUAUGAGUUGCAACUCUUGCUUUUUCUUGUAAAAUGAAAUAUAGAAUGUGUGGUUGUUUAUACUUGUGUUGAAUGAAAGCUCAAUUUUAACAUAUAUUUCUGAAUAGCUUAUAUAGUCCAAGUUGCACUUUUGAUAAUAACAUCUUAAUGCAGGAUCGCGUGAUUGGUAUUCUCGACUGGGAAUUAUCUACUCUUGGAAACCAGAUGUCUGAUGUCGCAUACUGUUGUCUGGUACUAAGUCAAUUCUCAACUUUAGUUUCUGUCGUGGAAAGAGCUAUACCCUCUUGCUUUGUUCCUUAUGUAGCACAGGCCAUUCUGUUGACACAUAAUAUUCCUUUUAAUGUAUGAGGGGUUUGUUCGGGGCCACCUUUAUGGUAAUUACUUAUUCCCUUUCUCGGCAGCCUUAUACUGUGGUUAUUGGGCAGAACAAACAUCUGGAUGCAGGUUUUGAAGUUACUGGAAUUCCAGAAGGGAUUCCCUCACAGGCCGAAUUUCUGGAUGACUACUGUUCUGCAUCUGUAAGACACAUGUCUAACACUGAUUAAACUGUGGUACUUGUGUACAGUUCCGCACACUCUCUGUCCCCUUUUUGUCCUCUUAUGAUGAAAUUCUGGCGAUAUUUUGAAAAUUAUUUAUUUUUUAUUAUUUUGAUUUCCUCGGUUUUGUUUUAAUAUUUUCAAAAGGCUAUAAGUAUGGAUCAUGAUAAUUCAGUUUUCUGGGACUCAUGAUUUCACAAUGUUUUGUCAAGAAAAUAUGCACCACUUGCUCAUCUUAUGGAAAGUGAUGUCUAUCAAAUAUAUUGCACUACUAAAGCAUGUAAACGAGGGGAUACUGGCUGAUAAUAAUGAAUUAAUCUAUCUUAAAUAUAGUAAGGAUGAUUGGUAAGGUUUGAUUUUUUACAUGCUCUCAAGGUUUUGCUAAUUUUCAGAUGAUCUUUUCUCCCUUGUAAAUGUGAUGGUUAUUCUAGAAUUCUCAUCGGUGUUAUCCUCCUACCUUAUUAAGGACUGACUUAUACUAUGAAUGUUGAAAUGUAGGGAAAACCAUGGCCCGCCAAGGUGUGGAAAUUCUAUGUUGCAUUUGCUUUAUUCCGUGGGGCAUCAAUUUACACAGGCGUAUAUAACAGAUGGCUGCUGGUAUUCAGUGAUGAGAAAGAGCUUGAUGCUUGAGAAUUAAGUGCUACAAAAAGCUUUUGUGUUGAAAUAUCAGGCCACUUAUAAGAUAUUUCUAUUUACUGUGACCUUGCAGGGUAAUGCUUCAGGAGGUGAACGUGCCCGAUAUUUAGGAAAUCAUGCCAAUGAGCUUAUAAAUUUUGCUAUGGAUUUUAUUGCACAGAAAUCUGUGCUUCCAGAGUAUCCUCCAUCUGGUAAUUUAAUCAUUCAAAAGUAUAUUUGGACCUGAGGAUACCAAUACUUUUACACAACAUACUUUGCUUCGUAUACGAACUUUGUAUGGUAUGGAAAUAAUGGACAUGCACUACAGUGUUUGUUUCUGUUUUUAACCACAUAAUUUACUAUGUUUUCAUAGUUCUAUAAAACAUGAUGUAGGACGUUACUAGAAGAUUUUAGGAUUUUAAUUAUUUUAGAACAUUUUAAUUUUUGCCAUUUUAAUUAGCGUCUUACUAGGUAUGUACUAGGUAUGUGUCUAGCGUUUUAUUUCUAGUUUAAUUGUGAUGUAGUUUCCCUAUUUAAGUUAACUUGGAGAAUUAUAUUUACCCUAUUGUAAAUAGAGAGAUCUUGUCGUUGUUUUUCCUAAACUAUUUCGAUUGGAAAAACCCCUCUUUUAUAAUUUGGAUUAUCUAUCAAAAUCUUUCUUAUAGAGUUGUUUGAAUUAGAGCGUUAUCUAAUCUCAUUGUAAAACAUUAAUAUCAAAAUCUUGUUACACUGUCAACUCAUUUAGAUUAUAACGAAUCUAAUAUCGCUUUGACUAGAGCAAUAAACUAAUUGCAUCGGCUAGACCAUUAUUGGAACAAUAUCUAGUGUUUAUCUACCCUAUCAAUCCGCUUCUGCUAUCACGCAUCAUAUUUUAUUGGCAUUCAUAUAGAGGGAGAGUUAUAAAGCCUAGAUUAUCUAACGAACAAUGAUUAUUUGCUGUGCGGCACAGAGGUAUUAUAACUUUCCUUUAUCAUGGCUGUAGUAUAUUCAAAGAUCAUCAUUCCUUGCCUGCUAUUUGAUUUAUUGUAUGCAAAACAAUUAGCCUAAAGUAAUUUUAUUCAACUUAUGCAAUUUUAGUUGCACAAGCAGAUGCAAAACAAUUUGGAAACGGGAACAAAAUUCAAAACAUUCUAGACGAAAGAGGAAGGUUUGUUCCCAGCCAAAGGGUUCUGGAACUGAGAAACAAAUUGAUUAAGUUCAUGGAAGAUUACAUAUAUCCCAAUGAAAAAGAAUUUGAAAAACUUGCUCAGUCUGAUGCACGCUGGACGAUUCACCCAGAGGAGGAGAGGUUAAAGGAGCUGGCAAGGAAAGAGGGGUUAUGGAACUUAUGGAUACCAGUAUGUUUCCAUAUCUGCUCCUGGUCAUAUUUCUUUGUUUCUGAUUUCUGUAUUUUCCUUUACCCUUGCUACUCUUCUUAGCUAAAAAGAGGGUGGUUGUUGCUAAUUAAUUUGUUUUCUGUGAAUAUUCGUUUUAAUUGCAGUUUGACAGUGCUGCCAGGGCAAGAAAGUUAAUCUUUGGUGAGGGUCCAAAUCCUAUUUCUGAUGGUGGACGUGAUCUCUUAUUCGGGGCAGGCCUCUCAAACCUUGAAUAUGGGUACCUAUGUGAGAUCAUGGGUCGUUCAUUUUGGGCUCCACAGAUCUUUAAUUGUAGUGCACCUGACACAGGAAAUAUGGAGGUAAAUAUUAUUUCCAGGUUUGUUAGAAUCUCAGGAGCAAUCAUUUUCUGUUGCCACCAUGUUGCCCUUCCUCUUUCAUUUUUGAAAGUGCCAUUUCUAUUUGCCUAAGAAGCUUUACUCUUGGUAAUGACAGUUGUCACUUUCGGAGUCUUAUUAUUAUUUUGAGAAAUACUUUUAUGAGCUCUUGUAAUCUGCACAAUGCCCGGAAGGAUGACAUGGUUUAUUUUUCUGCAUAUAUCAUCUUCAAGUUUGUUGGGUCUGAUUAUUAUGCUUAAGCAUUUGAUUCUAGGUACUAUUGCGAUAUGGAAAUAAAGAACAACUAGAAGAAUGGCUUAUUCCAUUGCUCGAGGGGAAGAUUCGGUCUGCAUUUGCAAUGACAGAACCGCAAGUUGCCUCUUCUGACGCAACCAAUAUUGAGUGCUCUAUUAAAAGGUGGAUUUCUCAUCAUGGUUCGUAAAUGGAAUGGACCUUUUUAUCUACUAAAUGGGGUGAAAGUUAUUUUUCGUUUUAGUGACAAAAAAUCUGAUAAAAAUCAGUAGGCAUUAUAUUUCUUUGUUAUCAUGCUUCAUUGUAUAUAAUUAUAUAAUUUAGUUAGAGUUUCUUCUCAGAAUUUUAUGACUGUUAAUGGAUUUCUUGUACAGACAAGGGGAUUCCUAUAUCAUCAAUGGGAACAAGUGGUGGACUAGUGGAGCCAUGGAUCCAAGAUGCAGAGUUCUUAUAGUCAUGGUUAGUUCUUCUAAAAUGGUGUGGCACGAAUAGUUUAUUUGUUGUUCCUGUAGCUGAAGUGGGUGAUCUGAAUCAAUCUGCAGGGAAAAACAGAUUUCUCUGCCGCUAAGCAUAAGCAGCAAUCUAUGAUCUUAGUUGAUAUCAAGACUUCUGGUGUACACAUAAAGAGACCACUCUUGGUGUUUGGCUUUGAUGAUGCACCUCAUGGGCAUGCAGAAAUUUCAUUUGAGAAUGUGUGUGUACCCGCAAAGAAUAUUCUGCUAGGAGAAGGACGCGGAUUUGAGAUUGCCCAGGUACAGUUGUUCUAUGCAUUUCACUAUCACAGGGAAGUCUGUCCUGAUUAAAAUUUUUAUUAGGAGUGUAUAUACAUGUCCUGAACACAGCAGCAUGAAGAUGAAAAGAACAUGGUAGAAUUUAGUUUUUUGGCUUCUAUAGAUUGAUAACAGCUGUGCAUUGCAGUUAUUAGACCGGUUCUGUGAGUGGAUUUACGCUGGGGACUGCAUUGUUAUUUGUGCAGGCAUACAAUUUGAAUAUUUCAUCUCCUUUUGCUUCUCUUUACUUACUUACAGGGUAGACUAGGCCCAGGAAGGCUGCACCAUUGCAUGAGACUGAUAGGUGCAGCUGAGCGUGGCAUGCAGCUGAUGGCUGAGAGGGCUCUUAGUAGAAAAGCAUUUGGAAAGUUUAUUGCUCAGCACGGUUCUUUUCUUUCAGAGAUGGCCAAGGUGAUCUAAGUUAGCUCCAGAUUUGGGAAAAAUUAUCAAAAUUCUACUGUUCUACCUCUGAGGGGAAAUUAAUUUUGUGAUCUGAAAGUGAAUUUGGUAACCAAACUGAUCUUUGUUACCGGUGGUGUCAUGCAGUGCCGAAUAGAGCUGGAGAGGACCAGAUUGUUAGUUCUCGAGGCAGCUGACCAGCUGGAUCGCCUUGGAAACAAAAAAGCUCGUGGAACCAUUGCAAUGGCAAAGGUAACUGAUGUGCCUUCUAAUUUGAUUAUUGUUUAAUCAGAUCCUGGUUUAUUGGUUUAUUUAUAUCAAUCACCCGUAUUGUGUGAAAUUUCUUUGAUGCAUGGACCAGGUAGCAGCUCCAAACAUGGCACUGAAAGUGCUGGACAUGGCAAUGCAAGUGCACGGUGCGGCUGGCUUUUCAACCGACACUGUUCUGUCACAUCUCUGGGCCACAGCAAGAACUUUGAGAGUUGCAGAUGGACCUGAUGAUGUCCACUUGGGGACCAUUGCCAAGUUAGAGUGAUGUUUUACAUUCUCAAGUUCGGUGAUCUGGUUAGAAAUCUUAUCUCAAUCACUCUAUGCAAUUUCAUAUCUCCAGUAAUCUAAGCAAAUCAUGGACUUUCUUGUGCUUUCAGUACACCAUAUGUGCUAGAACAAUUUUCUCAACUGCUGACAAAAGUAUAUCCGCAAUGAAUUUAAAGCUUCUAAUUGUGUUAGACACAAAGUUCAGUUCAUUAAAUUUAAUAAUCUGCUUGAUGGUUUAAGACUGAAAUAUUAUAAACUGUCCUAUGUGAUUUUGAUUCUGGCAAAGUCCAUCCGGCCAGCUGUUGAUGAGCAGCACUGAGCUUCAUCUGCUAAAGCAGCUUUCUACUUUGUUACUCUUUAUGUGCUUAUGUAUGAAGUUGCUACUGUUGUUUUUAACUCUUUUUCAUUAUGUAUUAAAUAAUGUGGAAACUCCCUGUUGACGAGUAUCAAGCCAUAAGCAACAACAAUGAACGACCAACAGCUUAGAUAGGAGUUGCUAUUCUAACAUUCAGCGUGAAUUUUUAUAAUGGCAAAACUAUAGAAUCACAAACUCUUGUAUUUAUUAGGGGUGUUAAGAAUUUAAUCUGAUCCGUUCAAUCUGUCUUAUUCAUAGAAAUUCGAUCCAAAAAAUUCGAUCUGUGGAUUUGUGGAUUGGACUUGAUUAAAAAUUUGAUCAUCCGCAAUCGAUAGAUUGGAUAUGUAUCUACUUCUACAAAUUCGUAAAAAUCUGUGAAUCUGUAAAAAAAUAAAAAGUAUUUAUUUAAUUAAAAUAUAAGUUAAAAUAUGGUAUUAGUACUUACUAGUAAAUAAAUAAGUUAAAAUAUAGUUACAUUAAAAUUAUAUUAUAUAUUAUCCGAUAAUAAUAUAAAAUAUAAAAUAAUUAAAUAAACAAAUAUAAUUUUCAUGUACUGAUCUAAACGAAUGAAUUUUUUUUUCGUUUUGGUGGGUUGUGUUAUGAAACUUUAAAUGUAUUUUCUAGUUUUAUUUAAACAAUUAAUUUAUUUAAAUCUUAUUUAAUUUUUAAUUUAAUCGGCAAUAAAAUUAUUUUUAUAUUAAAAAUUUUUUAUUUAGUUAGUUCGUGGAUUGGACAGUAUUAAAAUUUUUUAGUUCGCAAAAUGGUGGAUUAGAUAUACAUUAGGUUAAAUCCUCAUUUAAUCCGCAGAUGUAUGAAUUGGAUUUUGAUAGUGGAUUGGACAAUAUUAAAAAAUUUUAGUCUGCAAAUCAAUCUGUAAAAUUGUGGAUUGGAUAUGGAUUGGGUUAAAUCCUCAUUUGAUCUGUAGAUGUAUGAAUUGAAUUUGAAUUGAAUUUCACAAAUUCAUGAAUUGGAUUGAAUUGAAAAUUUAUAAUUCGCCAAAUUAUAGAUCGAAUAUGGAUUGAGAUCCAAUCCGUAAAAUCUGAUCCGCGAACACACCUAAUAUUUAUAAAUAAACUUGUUCAGGUUUGAUGUGGUAAUUAAUAAUUUUUUGAAUUAAAAAAAAAAAAGAAAUCAUUUGAUCCUAUUAUAAUUUUAAUUCAAUAUUAUUUCCAUAAAACUGUUAACUGUAUUAUUUUGAUUCAUAAACUAUGUUUCUAUAACCCCGACAGCAUCUCGCCUAAAAAGUAUCUCAAACCUCGAAAGUUUCUUAAAACAGAAAAUUUUAUCCAAAACAAACAUCACGUCACGCGACUCAUAACGGCGCGUCAGCACCACCCGCAACAUCCAUUUCCUCACUCGAGCGACGCAUUCAACUCCAAUAAACUACUACAACAAUGUUAUAAUAAAAUAUAUACAGAUAUAUUAUAUUAUAUCUCGAGAUAAUGAUGAGAACAAAACCUUUCCACUCCAAUCACUUGAUUAAUUCAUUUGAAGCUCUCAUUGUUUGUUAUUUUAGCGUUGAUUGCGUAUACGGCGAGAUCGAGAAAUCAAUUCAUCAUGGCGAGCCGAACAGGUGAUCUAGUGAGCCCAUUCCAGCCAGCUCACCAGCUCGACCUCGAUGCUUUGCUCCGUUACGCCUCCGUUAACGUCCCUGACUUCCCGCGCUCUCCUUCUAAAUUCACUAUUUCUCAGGUAUUUGUUUGUUUUUAAUUUAUUUAUUUAUCUGUGUUUUUGAGUUUUAAUUAAUUAUUUAUUUAUUU